rnacentral:rRNA from 1 species
GACGAACGUUGGCGGCGUGCUUAAUACAUGCAAGUCAACUGAAGCAGUGGUAGCAAUAUCGCUGUGGAGGUGGCGCACGGGUGAGUAACACGUAGGUAAUCUGCCUUCAGGUCUGGCAUAACUCCGGGAAACCGGGGCUAAUAGCAGAUGAUGCAGCGGCUCGACAUCGAGACAGUUGUUAAAGCUAUGGCGCCUGAAGAUGAGCCUGCGUCUGAUUAGCUAGUUGGCGGGGUAACGGCCCACCAAGGCAACGAUCAGUAGCUGGUCUGAGAGGAUGAUCAGCCACACUGGAACUGAGACACGGUCCAGACUCCUACGGGAGGCAGCAGUAAGGAAUAUUGCUCAAUGGGAGAAAUCCUGAAGCAGCAACGCCGCGUGAGGGACGAAGGGCUUUUGCUUGUAAACCUCUGUAGUGAGAGAAAAAAAUCCCAAUCUUUGGGACAUGAUGGUAGCUCAAAAGUAAGCCCCGGCUAACUGCGUG